ensembl:snRNA U2 U2 spliceosomal RNA
AACACUUCUCAGCUUCUUGAAGACUAAGAUCAAGUGUAGUAUCUGUUCUUAUUAAUUUAAUUGCUGAUAGGUUCUCCAUGUGAGAACUGGAUGUGAAAUGAAUUUUUUGCAGCAGGGGCUGGGAAAAGGAGCUUGCUCUGUCCACUCCAUGAAUCGGUCCAGUACUGCAGUACCUCCAUGGAGUGGUGCACCUCCU